rnacentral:ncRNA from 1 species
UUUCGGGUCUGUGGUUGAAAAUCGAUGCCAGUCGCAGGCGAAACGAUCCACAUAAGUCGGUUAAUCGGCCGAUGAGCAUGGUGCGGCUUAGAAGUAAGUCCGACCGGGAAUAUUUGCGAUAAUGGUUAUGCAGCAUAUCACGUCUUGGUUAUCAAGGUAGCGUCAUGUAGCCCAAUCCAUUGCGAACAUAAGUCCCGAGAGAAGCGGUAGUGGGAGGCAUUUUGCUCGGUAGCGAAACUUCCAGUCGGCGGGUGUGGGGGCAAAAACCAGGUCAGCCGAGG